rnacentral:rRNA from 1 species
UACGGGGGGUGCAAACGUUGUUCGGAAUCACUGGGCGUAAAGCGCGCGCAGGCGGAUGUGCAAGUCUGUAAGUGAAAUCUCGCCGCUCAACGGCGAGGCUGCUUCGGAUACUACACGUCUAGGGACCGGUAGAGGCUGGUAGAAUUGCAGGUGUAGCGGUGGAAUGCGUAGAGAUCUGCAAGAAUACCCGUGGCGAAGGCGGCCAGCUGGGCCGGGUCCGACGCUGAGGCGCGAAAGCGUGGGGAGCAAACAGG